rfam:Salmo salar isolate Sally breed double haploid chromosome ssa03, whole genome shotgun sequence.
UGCACUCACUACUGUAAGUCGCUCUGGAUAAGAGCAUCAGCUAAGUGACUAAAA